AGUUCACUUGGUAAGGCCAUCCAAUUUGCCUUAUUUACUUUUCAAGUGUGAUCAUACCAUAUAAGCCUAAAGGUUAUCUGUAAUUUUAAGUUGCCAAUUUUCAAGGGGGAACCACACCUUUGCAUAGUAGCGUCACUCCACGUGACGUAUGUCUAUAGUGGUGAAAAACUUGUCUACAUGAAACCAUAAUAUAUAAAAUAUUGUAAAUUGUAUGCUGAAACUAAUAAAAAUAUAAUAUCU
rnacentral:misc_RNA from 1 species